rnacentral:lncRNA from 1 species
UCCUCCAGACAGUCGUUCGGUAGGGUUGGAAAAUUACAAUCAUACAUAAAAGCUUAUUUUUACUAAAAAAAGAUUAGUAUGGUAAUAUAUGUACCAUCUGACAGACAACUUACAUAAGAAAGUAAAAAGAGAAAGAAGAGAAUUUUAGUGUAGAAGGAACAGAGAACAAAGCUUCAGAGUGAAGCUUUAAAGAGAGAACAUAAGGAGUAACUGUAUUUUUACAGAGAAAAAGGACUAGUAUUUUUGCAGAGAAAGAGGAAUAGUAUUUUUGCAGAGAAAGAGGAAUAUGUUGAUAUUACCCGGAGUCUAGAGAACACAGAGAGUUGUCAGAUGAGCAGAAAAUGGUUGUGAUCACCGAGGAGUAUGGACGAGCAUAAAACUUAGGGAAGAAAACAGAUGAAUAGAGCUUAUGGCUUAGAGCAGAUAGAAUAAGAAUAAAGCUUGAAGCUCAAAGAAGAGAGUAGAAGAGCGGAGCUUAGACCUCAGAGAAGAGAGUAGAAGAGCAGAGCUUAGAGCUCAGAGAAGAGAGUAGAAGAGCAGAGGUGCAUUGAGAGAGAAGAUACUCAG